rnacentral:tRNA from 1 species
CACUGGAUAGCUCAGUUGGGUAGAGCAUCGGACUGUUAAUCCGAGUGUCGCGGGUUCGAAUCCUGCUCCAAACA